GUGGGGAAUAUUGGACAAUGGGCGCAAGCCUGAUCCAGCCAUGCCGCGUGUGUGAAGAAGGUCUUCGGAUUGUAAAGCACUUUAAGUUGGGAGGAAGGGCAGUAAGUUAAUACCUUGCUGUUUUGACGUUACCGACAGAAUAAGCACCGGCUAACUUCGUGCCAGCAGCCGCGGUAAUACGAAGGGUGCAAGCGUUAAUCGGAAUUACUGGGCGUAAAGCGCGCGUAGGUGGUUCAGCAAGUUGAAGGUGAAAUCCCCGGGCUCAACCCGGAAACUGCCUCCAAAACUACUGAGCUAGAGUACGGUAGAGGGUAGUGGAAUUUCCUGUGUAGCGGUGAAAUGCGUAGAUAUAGGAAGGAACACCAGUGGCGAAGGCGACUACCUGGACUGAUACUGACACUGAGGUGCGAAAGCGUGGGGAGCAAACAGGAUUAGAAACCCGGGUAGUCC
rnacentral:rRNA from 1 species